rnacentral:lncRNA from 1 species
AGAGAAAAGAAAAGAAAAAGAGAAGAAGAAAGUCUGCUUCUUCUUCUUAGUUCUGCCAUAGGCAACACAUGGGAUCAAGUUCUUAUUGUUGGGAGAAGUUUUUGAGGUAAGUUUUAAUUACUGGUUUCUAUUAAAUUGUUGUGGAGAAGCACGAUUGCAAUAGAAGUAGAAAUAUAAGAUUUUAUAGAAAUAUGCUGACAGUGAAUUAUUACGGAAAUCAUAGUAAUUUGUACAAAUUGAUUUUGAUUUUGAUUUUUGGAUAUGUUAAACUAGACAUCGUCUAGAAUGUUUUGAAACUUUUUUCAAGUUAAUCGGAUAAGAUUUCAAUUAAUUAUGAUUUUUCAAAUUCAAGUCUGAAAACCUGGAAAUUUAUGAUUUCAGUGAAUAAUGUGAAUUACGAAAUUAUUUUUACCAUAGUUAGACUUCUUCAAAAAUUAUGCAAUUUGGACCAAUGAUUUUUAUAUAUGUCUAGUAUGAUUCUGGAAAUUUUCAUGAUUUUAUGAUAAAGCAAUAAAUUGUUUUGUAUUUGUAAAGCAAGUGUGUUCAAAACAGAAAACUGUUUGACAGUAUUGAUGAUGUCUGAAACGUGAAUUAUUUUCAAUAGUUUUUGAAGGAAUUAUGUUAUGAAAUUUUUAUCAAUGAACUUUCAAUGUGUCAGUAUAUCGUCUGUAAAAUUUUAGAUUCUUCCAAUAAGAGAAUAAUUUAUUAAAAAUCGGAGAAUUAUGGACUGUUAUGUUUUGAGGGCCGAUUAUUGAGGACAUUUGAGGUUGAGCUUAGGAGUUGUUUAAAUUGAGAUAUUUGAGGACAUUAGAGUUUAUGAUUGAGAUUUGAUUAUAUCUUAUGAGGCGUUAUUGAUGGUUUUAGGUUGAUGGUAUCAGUACGCAUUUGUUACAUGAGGAUGCCAAGAGGUAAGUAAACUAGACUUCAAAACGAAUCACAAUAAACAAUAUAUAUGUUUGACUUGUGUGAAAAGCCUAUCUUGAUAUGUACGAAUAUGGAUCUAUAUGUCUUUGCCCAUAUGUUUAUGUGAUGUGUUGUUAUGUGUUGAGCAUGAUUAUGUACAUGGGCAUAUGUAUGUGUGAUGGUUCAUUGGCAUGAGCACGAAAAUGCAUUGAGUUUUAUACAAAUGAGAAAGUGGAUUUUAACAAAU